GUUCUCAGAGACUCCAUGGAGAGAUCUAUGCUGAUAGGCUGCAGGUUGCCAUGGCAGCAGCCAUGCACAUCCUGGGUAACCAGGCGCCACAUGGGUGCUUGGUUUUUUCCCCAGAGCACAGUCUGUGCAGACAGCGGGGGAGGAAAGGCCACUUUGCCAACACAGGCAUAUAUUUAGGUCAUCAUUUCAGAAUCCUGUACACGUGUGGGAGUUCACUGUUGUUCCUGCAAGACUCUCAUUUUAGAUGCUGUUCCACUGGGCUGAAUAAAGAUAGUCAGGAUCGUCUCUGGCAAGCUGGCUAGCCUAACUGCAUGUUGCAAAGGAUAAGAAGAUUCCUCUGGAAAAGACCAGCUGUCCCUUCAGCACAAGACCUCAGUUACGGGCUAAUGUCCUAAUGCCAAGGCAUCACUCAUGGACUCUCUAGGAAGGACACCCCUGUGCACGGGCGUUUCAAAAGGUCUUACUUCAUUUCUUCCUGGGAGAGUUGUCAUCCCUGAUCCAGGCAUGAAACGCGUUAUGUGCAUCAACGGCCCAACCCUGCAGCAGCAUCUUAUCGGGAUGCUCUUGUGAUGUCUGUCUAACGUAGGGUCAAAC